rnacentral:rRNA from 1 species
UUAACAUGAAGUAAAGCAUGUAAACCUGCUGAAUUUAAGCAUAUAAGUAAGCGGUGGAAAAUGGAACCAAAUGGGAUUCCUUAAGUAAUUGCGAAAUGAAAAAGGAUAUGCUCAGCCUUGAAAAUUGAAGCUUUCUGGUUUUGAAUUGUAGUUUUGAAAUGUAUUGCCGAUGGAGGUGCAGGUGUAAGCCUGUUGGAAAACAGUGUCAGUGAGGGUGAGGUGCCUUUUUGUCAUUUGCAGUCCUUCAAGCACGGUAUAUAUUUGCCGAGUCACACUCCUUGGCAUUGGAAUGCAAAGUGGGUGGUCAAUUCCAUGAAAAGGGAAAUACAUUUUGAGACGAUAGCUAUCUCUACUACGUGUAAAA